AGGGGUGUAGCUCAACUGGCAGAGCGACGGUCUCCAAAACCGUAGGUUCAGGGUUCAAGUCCUUGCACCCCUGCUA
rnacentral:tRNA from 1 species